rnacentral:piRNA from 1 species
AGUAGAGAGAUGGCCUGUCAGGAUGGACA